ensembl:lncRNA
ACUUAGGUGCAGGGUUAGACUGCAGUGCAGAGCAAAGAAACAGCUAGGAUGCCUUGUCUGUGGUUGUGCAGCUGUACAGGUGCUGUAUAGCUAUCUCUGGGAGUCUGUCUAGAAGGUAGUUAUUAGCAAGACUUUCAUCAGUGCUUCUAUGUACAGGACAGAGUUUGGCUCAGAGCAUUGGGCAGAGCAUGAAAAUACUUUUGAGGAUAUGAACUAAACUGAUCUGAUUUUGAAGUUAGGAGUGAGUUAUGUGUGGACCCAGAUAGUACCAGAAUUCUGGCUUGUCUGAUGUGGAGAAAAUCAAGGAAGAAGGGAGAACCUUUAAGCUCUUUCUGAUUCUCUGGUGUUGGCAACACCCAGCGUGUGAGAAGAAUUGGUUGGUAGUAGGUGCUCCUUUCAGACAACUCUGCUGUUCUGUAUCACUAAAUGAUAGCAGUAUUAGCUGUGCUCUCUUAUUCUUCUUUGCCAAGCCUCUCUGUUAGAAACGAAGAGUGAAAAGUGGGUACCAAAAACUGAUGUUCUCUAGGCUGUAAACAUCUUUAUCUUCUUGCUUAGAGCAGCUUUCUUAGUACUUAGUACUUUCUUAGCUUGGGUAGAGAUCCCACAUACCUGUUCUCAAAGAUGGCUUAGUUUUCAGUGGUAGUGCAUAAUGAGCUUAUAUUGAACAGCUGAUUCCAAUGAAAAUUUGACUGAUGCAGUGGUUGUUUAGACAUAAGCCCAAUUUUAACUUAGACUGCAGACUAGUAUUACUUACUAAGCGGCACAAAACAUCAGAUUAUGGUUCAUUUGGUUCAUUUAACUUAAUCGGGAUGUUUAUAGAAACUCAAUUAGAAACGGUGUCAGUAAAAUGCAAAUAUUAAUUUUAAAAUCUCAUAACGUGAACCUAAUAUGCUUUUGAAUUAUUCAGUGGGACACUGCAGUGCUGGUAGAGGAUACUUAAAUUAUUAACACCGCAGCCUUACAUUUCAUAGGCAAGACAGUUUUUACAGGAGCCUUUCCAUUUAAUGUGGCCAGACACUGCAUUUGUUAAGAAUUCCAAUCAGUAUGCUAUAGUACAGCAUGUACUGCUAAUAACAAAAAGUAAUAAAAAAGACAGUAUUCCACAAUUUAUCCUGCCUCACCUGCCAGACAUUAUACAGCUGACUGGUGAAAACAGACAGACAGUGUAAUGUGCUCCAUCAGCCCAUGGACACGUGAACACUGCUGGGGUUCCAAACUCAAGUAGCAUCAGCCAGAGGUUGGCUAUAGAAAGAUACCAGAACUGCCUCAUCAGAAUUCUGCCCAGGAAUGUGGUGUGACUUCACUUGCUUGAAAUUAAGGCUCGGAAUGCACUUAAGGUCCGAAGCUACCUUAAGUCCUCAGAAUCUGGCAGCUACAAGUGGCACGGAGAAUUCCAUGUUGAUUAUUGGUUUUGAAACUCGUUGGCGCUUUGAAUUCUAUGAAGUGUACCACAUCUGCUCAGAAUUUUGUACAACUGUUAAUGUAAAUGUAGAUCCAACACUUAACUUCAAUCUAUAUUAUAUAACAAUUCAAGUUGUCAUUGCUGUUCACAGAAUACAUGUACUUUAAACUGUUAAUGUGACAAAAUAUGCUUCGGAAGCUAAAAAAGAAAAUCCUGUUGCAAAAAGACAAAUCUUCUAAUAGAAAUCAGUGAUUAAGUAGAGAAUCUCAGGUUGGUGCAUGAAGAUACAAGAGUUCCUCUUACAGUAACAGGUUAAAUGACCUCAUGGCUUUUGAUCUUCUAGGCAGUAUAGAAAUGAACUGAAUAAUAAUAAUAAAAAAUUAAAUUGAUUCACUGGAUAAAAUUAUAUUAUGAGUAAUGAUUAUGCAAUUCCUGAUUUUAAUUAUCUAAUUCCUUAAAUUAGAUGAUAUGACGAAGAACAUAACUGACCUGUAAUUUCUGAUUUAACGUUCCUAUUUUUAGUAUGAAUUCAUUUAUUAAUCUUGAAGAAACUAUAGAUAUGCUUUUCAUUAGCACUGUAGAACACUAGUUAGGAAUAACAGAAUUCUGUGUACUAGUCAUUCUUUAGUAACAAUUUUCAUUGAUAAUAUAACAUCUGUGACAUCUGAAAUGCUGAUUGUUUUGUUCAUUGUUCCUAUGAAAUAUGAAUAGCUUCAUGUGCAAGCUGUAUAAUGAUAUUUUGUGUUGUAUUGUAUUAACUUGUAUUAACUUGCAAACUUGUCUGAGAUGACCUCAAGACUUGGUUAAUAAAAUCACAUUGUAACUGUGUAUGUCAGCGUAGCCAGUAAUAUACACCCCACCAUUAUUUAUUUUGUAUAUGUCAUAUAGUUAAUUGAGAGGCAAUCUUGAACACAUUGAAUAAUAAUUUCAUUUAAUUCACUCGUCAGUCAGGCAGUAUUAUUAUCAUGUGCAAGAAAAAAUGUAAUUACUGUAAAUGUAAUUACUGUAGAUAAAAAUGGUAGAAAAAAUGUGAUUACUGUAAAUAAAACACCUG